CCACAGAGAAGAUGGAGGGUGCCUCGCUUGGUCUGCACCACUACCAAUCGAACACACAGGAUAACCUGCAACCCAGCAAAGUCCUUGUAACCACUUUUAAAGAUAAGACAGAAGUUGCUAAAAACAUUUUCCAUGUUAACAGUGCCAAGGAUCUCAUUGAUCAAAGCCUAGCCCAGCAAACUGGCUGUGUGCUUGACAGGUUGUUAAAGUAUAAUACUGAUUUCAUGAAAUACAUUGAUGUUGACAUGAAUGAGGAGGAACUGAAGGAUUUGGAUAGAUAUCACAUCUUUCUAUCAACACAAGGGACCCAAGUUGAAUGUGUGGAGGCAAAUCAAAAUCAGGCUCAACCACACACUGAAGGUGCAGGCGGUCAAUGGGAGACUGAACCUAGUGCUAGUGAAGCUUGUCAGAGUGGUCCACUGGAGAAAUGCCAAGGAGAAAAUGAUGGCGUGCACAGAUUUGAUGCAGCCAAUCUGGUGGUGCUAAUUAAUAACAAAGCCCCAAGUGUACUUGCCGAAUAUGAAAAAUCUGGAACGCUCUCUCUGGCAUCCAGAAAACUCCUUGUGAGAACAGGUGUCAGCGAUCUGGUUGAGCGACGGGGAUUUUACCCCUCCAAUGCUGACAAACUGAUGUUGGCUAAAAGCAUAACAACAAUCUUCCCAUCAUUAAAGAUCAAGAUACAAGAGGCGAAUGAAGGAUUUGAGCACUUUUAUGAUCCAGUGUCCCACUGUGGAUUCAUUGAGUUGAAACUGAGGAACUGCGGAGAAACCUUCAUGAAGAUCAGAGACGCUAUCGCAAACGCGGAAAGUCCAGUGAGGCUUCUGGAGUAGCUAUAACAUUACAAGCAAUUUCAGAAGGGGAAGAAGAGUCCGCCAAGGAUUGGAUAACAGCUACCAAAAGGAUCAGACCAUCUCCUGAGAACCUCACAUCUAUCAAAAUGGGCAUGCAGACAGACCACUCACUCCAAAACAUCAUUUUAUGACUCACUAUUGGCGCAUGAUGAUAAAGUUUGGCCCACUUUUAAAGUUAUGGUGUAUGAGAUUUGAGAGUAAGCAUGGUCCCCUGAAAAGGCAUGCUCAUGUUGUGUGUAAUUUCAUAAAUAUUUCUAAGACUUUGGCUUACAAGAAUCAAGUUCAAAGUAUGUAUAAUUGGAAAUUUAGUGAUCCACUGAUGAAAAAAAUGACUGUACCAAGCGGCUUUCCAGUGAUGGUUGGAUCUUUGGAAAAAAGUAAUCUGUUAAUUGAAAAUCUGAAACAACAUGGGUAUGAUAUUGGCACUUGCAACAAAAUUCAUGUGGCUCACUCUAUCUGUUGGCAUGGUCAGACAUAUAAAAUGGGUUGUGUUCUUGCUUUAAACUGUGAUGCAAGAGAGGAGCGUCUGUUUGGAGAGAUUUUACAUAUGGUUCCCAAUUGUGAAAAGGAAGAGGUGCUAAUUUUUCUCAAAAUUUUAACUGUUAAAUAUUUUGAUGUCCAUCUAUUUUCAUAUGUGGUGGAGCGGACUGAUGAGUAUGAAAUGAUAAAUGUAAACGAUAUAGCAGACAUCAGACCCCUAGACUUGCUGUCAUCUUUCAGUGGAAAUGCACUAUAUAUUAAUCCCAGAUACAAAUUGAUUGUCUAAAUUUGCAUUACUGUUAACUGCUUUACCUGUGACACACCUGAGCCAGUUACUUACUUGCAAAAUUUGGGAGAGGAUAGUUAAUGGUACUGCCUGUUAUGUGGUCAUGCAGUUUAUGAUGGUGUAACCUGAUGUCCCUGCAGUGAUCAUUUACAGGUCAUCCCAUUGUUUAAUGUUGAUGUAUGUUAAUGUUUGCCAUGAAAUUAUAUUUCAUGUUUUUUUUGCAGUGACAGAAUUAUUUUGAAUAAAGGUCACUUGAAUUCAAUGCA
ensembl:lncRNA uncharacterized LOC114450886